GCCUCUAUAGCUCAGUUGGUAGAGCAGCUCGCUCUUAACGAGACGGUCGUAGGUUCGAAUCCUACUGGGGGCA
rfam:Candidatus Yonathbacteria bacterium RIFCSPLOWO2_01_FTLL_47_33b rifcsplowo2_01_scaffold_4261, whole genome shotgun sequence.